rnacentral:lncRNA from 1 species
AUUUAGUGCAUAGCACAGUACUGGAAAAGCACAAACAAAUGAAGAAGGAUCCACCACAGGCAGGAGAGACCCCUGGACAAAACUGAGUUGACUAAAUGGAAGUGUGCAGCUAUCAGAAGAAGAGGCUUAGCUGCCUGGAGAAGAGGACACUUCAGCUUCUUGUUACUCUCGCUGGUGAUGGUACUGCAAGAUCACCCAUGGCUCUUUGAGUAUUUUCUUUUUAAGUCAGAAAGG